rnacentral:rRNA from 1 species
UGGGGAAUAUUGCACAAUGGGCGCAAGCCUGAUGCAGCAACGCCGCGUGAGGGAUGACGGCCUUCGGGUUGUAAACCUCUUUUAGCAGGGAAGAAGCGAAAGUACGGUACCUGCAGAAAAAGCGCCGGCUAACUACGUGCCAGCAGCCGCGGUAAUACGUAGGGCGCAAGCGUUAUCCGGAAUUAUUGGGCGUAAAGAGCUCGUAGGCGGUUUGUCGCGUCUGCUGUGAAAUCCCGAGGCUCAACCUCGGGUCUGCAGUGGGUACGGGCAGACUAGAGUGCGGUAGGGGAGAUUGGAAUUCCUGGUGUAGCGGUGGAAUGCGCAGAUAUCAGGAGGAACACCGAUGGCGAAGGCAGAUCUCUGGGCCGUAACUGACGCUGAGGAGCGAAAGGGUGGGGAGCAAACAGGCUUAGAUACCCUGGUAGUCCACCCGUAAACGUUGGGAACUAGUUGUGGGGNCCAUUCCACGGAUUCCGUGACGCAGCUAACGCAUUAAGUUCCCCGCCUA